ACUUCCCAUAUAAGUGACUACAACGGGAUGGGAUGGACAUAUACAGAUAUCAAAAAGCCACCACAGGCAGCAAAUGAGUCUCCGACUAUAGCUGAGAUAAUAUAUAUUAGCAAGGGAUAGAGAGAAAAGUUGAAGUCUGAUGGUUCACGCUCAACGCGCUAAGCUCGCUUAGCGAGCUAUUGUCGCUUAGCGGUAAGGUUUCCGUUCAGCGCGAAGAAGCAGCAUAGAGAACCUGCAGUCAGGCAAAGGGGCGCUUAGCGCACAUGGCGCGCUUAGGGUAGAUGGCGCGCUUAGCGCCCAACCACUUACUCGCACUCAACGCGUCGUCGCAAAAUCUCAAACUCAGGAAGGGUUUUUAUGUGAAAAACGGAGAGAAGAAAGAGAGCUCGUUCAAAAGAUAGAGAACCCAAAAGCUUGAGCUAGAGGAGGAAGGCAAUCAUUAGGAGCUCAUUCUCAUCCAUGGAUUCAUAUCCAUUCCUUAUCCCUUCACCUUUUACAUCCUUUUGUAUAUUUGAGCCCUUCAUCGUCUACUUUGCAAACAAAAAUGAUUUACUUAGCCUUUCUCCAAUUUA